rnacentral:lncRNA from 1 species
UUUGAAUGUUGAAAUUAUGCAUAUAUGCACGAUUUAUGUAUGAUGAAUGUUGACAAAACAGACAUAUCUAACACAAACAGGUCCAAAGAUCGAUGGACAAACAUCUGGUACUACAAUCUCGAGGGAGAAAGCCAGGUCCACUGGGGAACAAUCUAUCUGAUGGGGACCAGAGAUACUAGGAAACAAAAUCUCUGCAGGGGAAUGAGCAUCAGUCGUCCCAACCAGGGACAAGAUCAUCAUACAGAUAAAAUCCG